ACUGCAUUUAGUCAUAAGUUUAAGCGUGUAUAAGUAAUAGUCCUUAUACUUUAGACCGUAACAUUGACUUACCUGUCGAGAAGGAAGCAGGCAACUUCAGCGUCCCUUUGAAAGUACUUCUCCUUCAUUAGCUCUUUCCACCUGGGAAAGGCUACACCGAUGUUUACCCUCGUUUUUUAAAUUGGCCGGUCACAUUACCUUUUUAAUUCCCUUUUUCGGCAACGAGUAUUCCUUCUGUGGCUCGGCAAGUAUGAUCCUCUAUUAUUUUGAACUAAAGUGCAGUGCAGGGUUUU